rnacentral:tRNA from 1 species
GCGCCCGUGGCGCAACUGGAUAGCGCGUUUCCCUGCUACGGAUGAGGUCCGGGUUCGAGUCCCGGCGGGCGCU